CCCUUAGAUUGUCUGGGCGGCACGCGCGCUACAAUGAUGCAUUCAAAAAGUCUUCUGACCUUAGAAGGUUGGGUAUUCUCCAAAGUGCAUCGUGAUGGGAAUAGUUUAUUGCAAUUUUUAAUCUUGAACGAGGAAUUCCUAGUAAGUACAGGUCAUUAACUUGUGUUGAUUACGUCCCUGCCCUUUGUACACACCGCCCGUCGCUCCUACUGAUUGAGUGUCUCGGUGAAUUCGUUGAUCUUCUGUCGAUUCAGUUCACUGAUCCGACGGUGGAAAGUUGAAUGAACUUCGUCACUUAGAGGAAGGAGAAGUCGUAACA
rnacentral:rRNA from 1 species